rnacentral:rRNA from 1 species
UAGGGAAUCUUCGGCAAUGGACGGAAGUCUGACCGAGCAACGCCGCGUGAGUGAAGAAGGUUUUCGGAUCGUAAAGCUCUGUUGUUAGAGAAGAACGUUGGUAGGAGUGGAAAAUCUACCAAGUGACGGUAACUAACCAGAAAGGGACGGCUAACUACGUGCCAGCAGCCGCGGUAAUACGUAGGUCCCGAGCGUUGUCCGGAUUUAUUGGGCGUAAAGCGAGCGCAGGCGGUUCUUUAAGUCUGAAGUUAAAGGCAGUGGCUUAACCAUUGUACGCUUUGGAAACUGGAGGACUUGAGUGCAGAAGGGGGGAGUGGAAUUCCAUGUGUAACGGUGAAAUGCGUAGAUAUAUGGAGGAACACCGGUGGCGAAAGCGGCUCUCUGGUCUGUAACUGACGCUGAGGAUCGAAAGCGUGGGGAGCAAACAGG